rnacentral:rRNA from 2 species
UAAGCCUGUGAAGGUGGCCUGUGAGGGUUGCUGGAGGUAUCAGAAGUGCGAAUGCUGACAUAAGUAACGAUAAAGCGGGUGAAAAGCCCGCUCGCCGGAAGACCAAGGGUUCCUGUCCAACGUUAAUCGGGGCAGGGUGAGUCGACCCCUAAGGCGAGGCCGAAAGGCGUAGUCGAUGGGAAACGGGUUAAUAUUCCCGUACUUGGUGUUACUGCGAAGGGGGGACGGAGAAGGCUAUGUUGGCCGGGCGACGGUUGUCCCGGUUUAAGCGUGUAGGUGUGUGUUCCAGGUAAAUCCGGUUCACUUUAACACUGAGGCGUGACGACGAGGCACUACGGUGCUGAAGCAACAAAUGCCCUGCUUCCAGGAAAAGCCUCUAAGCAUCAGGUAACAUCAAAUCGUACCCCAAACCGACACAGGUGGUCAGGUAGAGAAUACCAAGGCGCUUGAGAGAACUCGGGUGAAGGAACUAGGCAAAAUGGUGCCGUAACUUCGGGAGAAGGCACGCUGACACGUAGGUGAAGUGAUUUACUCAUGGAGCUGAAGUCAGUCGAAGAUACCAGCUGGCUGCAACUGUUUAUUAAAAACACAGCACUGUGCAAACACGAAAGUGGACGUAUACGGUGUGACGCCUGCCCGGUGCCGGAAGGUUAAUUGAUGGGGUCAGCGCAAGCGAAGCUCCUGAUCGAAGCCCCGGUAAACGGCGGCCGUAACUAUAACGGUCCUAAGGUAGCGAAAUUCCUUGUCGGGUAAGUUCCGACCUGCACGAAUGGCGUAAUGAUGGCCAGGCUGUCUCCACCCGAGACUCAGUGAAAUUGAACUCGCUGUGAAGAUGCAGUGUACCCGCGGCAAGACGGAAAGACCCCGUGAACCUUUACUAUAGCUUGACACUGAACAUUGAGCCUUGAUGUGUAGGAUAGGUGGGAGGCUUUGAAGUGUGGACGCCAGUCUGCAUGGAGCCGACCUUGAAAUACCACCCUUUAAUGUUU